AUUGAACGCUGGCGGCAGGCUUAACACAUGCAAGUCGAGCGGAGAUGAGGUGCUUGCACCUUAUCUUAGCGGCGGACGGGUGAGUAAUGCUUAGGAAUCUGCCUAUUAGUGGGGGACAACAUUCCGGAAGGGAUGCUAAUACCGCAUACGUCCUACGGGAGAAAGCAGGGGAUCUUCGGACCUUGCGCUAAUAGAUGAGCCUAAGUCGGAUUAGCUAGUUGGUGGGGUAAAGGCCUACCAAGGCGACGAUCUGUAGCGGGUCUGAGAGGAUGAUCCGCCACACUGGGACUGAGACACGGCCCAGACUCCUACGGGAGGCAGCAGUGGGGAAUAUUGGACAAUGGGGGGAACCCUGAUCCAGCCAUGCCGCGUGUGUGAAGAAGGCCUUAUGGUUGUAAAGCACUUUAAGCGAGGAGGAGGCUACUGAGACUAAUACUCUUGGAUAGUGGACGUUACUCGCAGAAUAAGCACCGGCUAACUCUGUGCCAGCCGCCGCAGUAACAC
rnacentral:rRNA from 1 species